rnacentral:lncRNA from 1 species
AAAAUCAAAAGCUUUUGUUCUGUAACCUUGAAAAAAAAAAAAAAUGGAGAGCGAAAGAAAUUGACCGAGUGACGCCGUUUGUCUUGUAAAUGGUUAUGAUUUGCUCUGGCAUUAUCAACAAUUCCCAUAUAAAAAAACCCAGCUUUGGCCUGUGUUUCAUACGCUGAAUGGAAUUGGUGAGAUAGAGAAAAUGAUGAUAAAUCACAAAUGUUGAUGUGAAAAAAAUAGGUCAGUAUUCCCUCCCCCCUCAAAUCCUCUCUUUUUCUCCAUUUGAUGGGAUGAUCAUGUUACAAUUCACAAAACCUUAAAAAUAGUAACUGAAUUUGAGAUGCCCCAUGCAAACAAACUUAUCAUCAUCCGACACUUACAAUUCACAAAACCUUAAAACCUUUACUGGGUCUGGGUAUCAUCCUUUUUUUUUUUUUUUUUUUUUGGGUGCACGCGAAUCCUGUUCCUGUAUCACAUUAUGAUUUUAUGACUUACACAUCACUAAGUUGUGUUUGGUUAAGUGGGCAUUGGAUUCCUGGCUGAAAUUUAUUACACGCUUUUAAUAUAUAUAACAACACAGCACUUGCCCCUUUGCAUUUUCAUUGUCCUGCUUUGGACCUUUGUCCCCUUACUUAUAGACAUUUUUUCUCAAUUGCCUGUUCCAUUCAGUACUCUUCUUUGUCCAUGUACGAUGUACGUUACCGAUUGUUGCCCAUGAGAUUCGGAUCCGAUUUGAGGGUUCCUUGAUAAUUAAGUUUCACUAAGUAGCGUUUUCAGUUUUUCUAUUCCGUCGUUAAAUCUAACCUGUGAAAUGAGCCCGGUGCGGGGGGUGGUACUCGGGUUCAAAGCCAAACAAGCCCGAAGGUUAAAGGGUAUUGUGGUCUUUUUGUAAAAAUGUACCGAAGUUAAGUCAUUACCAACCGGUGAAAGUUAGAACUGUUUUGAGUUUUUUGACUGCCUUUAUUGCUGAGACGAUGAAAGAGCUCGGGAUUAGAGUUGUUGUGGUUGUUGCCAAUGCAACGUUCGUUAUCUGUUUGUCAGUUAUAAGAUUAACAUUCAAAAGAGACAAAAAUCAAAAGCUUUUGUUCUGUAACCUUGAAAAAAAAAAAAAAUGGAGAGCGAAAGAAAUUGACCGAGUGACGCCGUUUGUCUUGUAAAUGGUUAUGAUUUGCUCUGGCAUUAUCAACAAUUCCCAUAUAAAAAAACCCAGCUUUGGCCUGUGUUUCAUACGCUGAAUGGAAUUGGUGAGAUAGAGAAAAUGAUGAUAAAUCACAAAUGUUGAUGUGAAAAAAAUAGGUCAGUAUUCCCUCCCCCCUCAAAUCCUCUCUUUUUCUCCAUUUGAUGGGAUGAUCAUGUUACAAUUCACAAAACCUUAAAAAUAGUAACUGAAUUUGAGAUGCCCCAUGCAAACAAACUUAUCAUCAUCCGACACUUACAAUUCACAAAACCUUAAAACCUUUACUGGGUCUGGGUAUCAUCCUUUUUUUUUUUUUUUUUU